AUAAACAAUGAUGAGUAAUUUUUUACAGUUACAGACCUGUAAUGAUUUGCGAAAAUGAUCGCAAAAAAUUGAACAUCUAAGGGACUGAGUUUGU
rfam:Solanum tuberosum cultivar DM 1-3 516 R44 scf00172_13, whole genome shotgun sequence.